AUUCCUGCUAUUGCAACCUCGACAGCAAUGGCAACUGGUCUCGUGUGCUUGGAGUUGUACAAGGUUCUUGAUGGGGGGCACAAACUAGAAGACUACCGCAAUACAUUUGCCAACCUAGCACUACCUUUGUUCUCCAUGGCAGAGCCAGUCCCGCCCAAGGUUAUCAAGCAUCGUGACAUGAAGUGGACCGUUUGGGACAGGUGGAUCAUUAAGGAUAAUCCUACUUUGAGGGAACUUCUUCAAUGGCUCAAGGAUAAGGGGCUGAAUGCUUAUAGCAUUUCAUGUGGCAGUUGCCUGCUCUACAAUAGCAUGUUCCCUAAGCAUAGAGAAAGAAUGGACAGGAAGGUGGUGGAUUUGGUUAGGGAAGUGGCAAAAUUAGAAUUGCCUCCAUUCCGUUCUCAUUUUGAUGUUGUUGUGGCAUGCGAAGACGAUGAGGACAAUGAUAUUGAUAUUCCUCCGG
rnacentral:misc_RNA from 1 species